GGGCUCAUUGUCUCUUUAUAAGGAAAAUUUAGUAUCUUUUAAAUUAUGGGCUCAUCCGAGCCCGAUCACAUUCCUUUCCUCUCACAAAUCCCGUUUUGCAUCAAAAGCAGGAGUCGAACCAAAAAAAAUCUCAUAAAAACAAAAUGAUCUUCAAAUUGUAAACAGCAAGUGUGCUUCCAGUAUCAAUUAUCAUGCCCCCUCACUGCUUCAAAGUUAAUCACCAGCUUGCCAUCCUGUUUUCCCCCUCAACCAUGAACGAGAACUCAACGAUAUGUAUGUAUCAGCAUCUUGAAAGGGCUCCACAACCCACACUUACAAGAGAGAGAGAGAGUUUCAACACAACCAAUGGCAAACCAAAAAGAUUCUGCUGGGCCAACCUCUUCAUUAGCUUUUCUAGAAGCUUAAACUGUUAGAAUAUCUCAAGGAUAAAUGGGGAAACAUAAGGCCACUCCGUAAUCCUGCAUCUUAACAGAUUUCAGCAUUUUAGAAGUCUCUAGGAUGUACAAGUACUCUUUUUUAUGGUGACAAAUGUAUUGACUGAGAAGCCUUUCAUUCUCAAAGAUUUCUAGCAUAAUUCAUUUCCCUAUUACACGGUAUCCUGUAAAACAUUUGUUGGUAUCAGAUGAUACUCAAAAGCGACUAUAAUAUACUAGAAAGAAUCACGCAUACAGCAAGAAGGAAAAAGAAAAGGGGGGCAAAACUCCUCUCUUGGCUGGUCUAAGACAAAGGGUCCAUGAAGCUUUUCGCUUGAUGUAGAGCCUGCUCAGUCUACUCCUAACUUAUGCACUCCCCUCCCCCUGCUUGGCAUCAGUGUAGUUUUCCAAGAGCCUCUUCAUCAUGACCAGCAAA
rnacentral:lncRNA from 1 species